rnacentral:rRNA from 1 species
AGUGAACGCUGGCGGUAGGCCUAACACAUGCAAGUCGAACGGCAGCACAGUAAGAGCUUGCUCUUACGGGUGGCGAGUGGCGGACGGGUGAGGAAUACAUCGGAAUCUACUUUUUCGUGGGGGAUAACGUAGGGAAACUUACGCUAAUACCGCAUACGACCUACGGGUGAAAGCAGGGGAUCUUCGGACCUUGCGCGAUUGAAUGAGCCGAUGUCGGAUUAGCUAGUUGGCGGGGUAAAGGCCCACCAAGGCGACGAUCCGUAGCUGGUCUGAGAGGAUGAUCACCCACACUGGAACUGAGACUACGUCCCGACUCCUAGGGGGGGCAGCAGUGGGGAAUAUUGGACAAUGGGCGCAAGCCUGAUCCAGCCAUACCGCGUGAGUGAAGAAGGCCUUCGGGUUGUAAAACCCUUUUGUUGGGAAAGAAAAGCAGCAGGUUAAUACCCCGCUGUUCUGACGGUACCCAAAGAAUAAGCUCCGGCUAACUACGUG